rnacentral:rRNA from 1 species
AUACGUAGGUGGCAAGCGUUGUCCGGAAUUAUUGGGCGUAAAGCGCAUGUAGGCGGUGCCUUAAGUCUGUCGUGAAACUGCGGGGCCUAACCCCGUAUGGCGAUGGAAACUGUGGCCCUUGAGUGCAGGAGAGGAAAGGGGAACUCCCAGUGUAGCGGUUAAAUGCGUAGAUAUUGGGAAGAACACCGGUGGCGAAGGCGCGUUUCUGGACUGUGACUGACGCUGAGAUGCGAAAGCCAGGGUAGCGAACGGGAUUAGAUACCCCGGUAGUCCUGGCCGUAAACGAUGGGUACUAGGUGUGGGAGGUAUCGACCCCUUCCGUGCCGGAGUUAACGCAAUAAGUACCCCACCUGGGGAGUACGGCCGCAAGGCUUAAACUUAAAGGAAUUGACGGGG